rnacentral:rRNA from 1 species
UACGGGGGGUGCGAGCGUUGUCCGGAAUUACUGGGCGUAAAGCGUGCGCAGGCGGUUGUGCAAGACAGAUGUGAAAUCCCCGGGCUCAACCUGGGAAUUGCAUUUGUGACUGCACGGCUAGAGUGUGUCAGAGGGGGGUAGAAUUCCACGUGUAGCAGUGAAAUGCGUAGAGAUGUGGAGGAAUACCGAUGGCGAAGGCAGCCCCCCUGGGAUAACGACUGACGCUCAUGCACGAAAGCGUGGGGAGCAAACAGG